UGAGAAGCCAUCUGAAGCAAUGCGACCUGAUCGUUUGUGUUGGCCACCCUGACAGGCUGGCACUUCUGGAAAAACAUUCAGAGCCAGCGAGGCAGCAGCAGCACUCAGCCUUGACCCCAAACUUCACUGUUUGAACCAAAGAGGGGCCGUAGGGUGCUGCAGACGGAUGAGGUGGAUGGGGGUGAUGUUCAGCGGGAGGUGUGUGUGAAACGAGCACACAACAACACACAGACCUAAUGACGCAGCAGAGGAAAAGUCAGAAUCACACGCGGGAUGCAGUUUGCUGCAGGACAUGAACUUUUCACUUUAAUUUAGCUCUUAAAGAUGUUUGACGUAAGACGGAAGAGGAACGACGCAGCCGAUUGUUGACCUUCAAAAAGACGUCUGGAGUUUGAUGGUCUCCCUUUAAACCAGUUUGGUUCCAGAGUCUGGAUUUCCAGUUUCCAGUACAUGUUAAUAAAAACCACUUCCUCAGUUCUAAUGGUGGUCUGUGUUCUGCUUUGUCAACAAUACUGCCCCCUGCUGUUUGUCUGUGGACAGUUUUUAUGUUAUUGUGCAGUACAAGAGUCCGCAACCCGAGACUCUUUUAUUCCUACAUUGUGGCUCUUUGGUUUUGAACAGAAAUUGUGUUUUAAUUGUUGUAGUUAACUCAUUUAGGUAAUUUGUGCCUAUAUUUUCAGUGUAGUCAUUUGAACUGGAUUCUGUUUAUAUUCCAUACUUAAAUGAGAAAAAGAUAAGAGUGUAUCAGAGUCAUAAAACUAGAAAAUGUCAUGUUUGACUUCUGCAUUUUUGAUUCAAGUAAAUCUAAUCCAACAGAAUAAUUCUUUUUAAUACAAGGUUUGUCUUAUUUUGAAAGGGACUUGUAUGUGAUGCUUUAAAAAAAGUUAAAUAUAGAAACAUAAGACACUGUUCUAAUGUAUUAUUAAUAUUUAUAAUUGAUUGCAAAAUGUUAAGUAAAAUGUUUCUAAACUGUGAA